GCCUGUGGUUCCAGAAGUGAGCUGCAGAAAGUACUGGAUCUUGUCUGAUCUUGGAAGCUAAGCAGGGUCAGCCCUGGUUAGUACUUGAAGGGGAGACCUACAAUGAACUCUAGGUGCAGUAGGUU
rnacentral:rRNA from 11 species